rnacentral:rRNA from 1 species
UACGUAGGGUGCAAGCGUUAUCCGGAUUUACUGGGUUUAAAGGGUGCGCAGGCGGAUAUGUAAGUCAGUGGUGAAAUCUUCCCGCUUAACGGGAAAACUGCCGUUGAUACUAUAUAUCUUGAAUGCUGUGGAGGUGAGCAGAAUAUGUCAUGUAGCGGUGAAAUGCUUAGAUAUGACAUAGAACACCAAUUGCGAAGGCAGCUCACUACGGGAAUAUUGACACUGAGGCACGAAAGCGUGGGGAUCAAACAGG